rnacentral:rRNA from 1 species
GGCUCAGGAUGAACGCUAGCGGCAGGCUUAACACAUGCAAGUCGAGGGGCAGCGCGAGGUAGCAAUACCGUUGGCGGCGACCGGCGCAAGGGUGCGUAACGCGUGAGCAAUCUGCCCGUAUCAGGGGGAUAAGCGAUGGAAACGUCGUCUAAUACCGCAUAACAACGAGGGAGGCAUCUUCCAUGUUUGAAAGAUUCGUCGGAUACGGAUGAGCUCGCGAGACAUUAGCUAGUCGGCGGGUAACGGCCCACCGAGGCUACGAUGUCUAGGGGAACUGAGAGGUUGGUCCCCCACACUGGAACUGAGACACGGUCCAGACUCCUACGGGAGGCAGCAGUGAGGAAUAUUGGACAAUGGCCGGAAGGCUGAUCCAGCCAUGCCGCGUGAAGGAAGAAGGUCCUAUGGAUUGUAAACUUUUGUAUGGGAGCAAUAAGGGUGUCGUGACGCCCGAUGAGAGUACCAUACGAAUAAGCAUCGGCUAACUCCGUGCC